AGAGAGGGCAAUUAUGAAGAGAAGCAAGAGAGCAUAGAAUGAACGAAUUUGCACCGCUCUAUACUUUUUUACCCCGGUCAAAGCGUCCCUUCGUAAGUUAGCUCCGCGUUUCAGCCCGUAAAAAUCCGGAAAAUGGUGAAAAAUCCAAAGAGUAAUAGGCUGCGAAGAUCACAUGUGCAUGUUCCAGCAAUGUGUGUGUGUGUAUGCGUGCUUGAAAACUUGGCGAAAAAUUUGUCAAGUCUUGUCCCUUUCCCACUCCAUGAUGGAAGAAGAGAAUCAAAAAGGAAUGAGUGGUGUCGUUCCAAGUGAAUUUCCUAAAAGGAUCACAUGUGCAUGUUCCAGCAAUGUGUGGGUGUGUAUGCUUGAAUGAAAACUUGACGAAAAAUUCGUCGAGUUUUGUCCCUUUCCCACUCCAUAGCGGAAGAAGAGAAUCAAAAAGGAAUGAGUGGUGUCGUUCCAAGUGAAGUUCCUAAAAGGGAAAUCAUUUCGUGCGUUAUUGCGUCUUCCUUCAUCGUCAGAAUCUUCAGAAUUAAGAUUAUGGGUAAGUGAGAAAAGAAACGAGAUAAAUUAUGUUGUUUACUGUUAAUUUC